UGCGUAGGUGGUUUCUUAAGUCAGAGGUGAAAGGCUACGGCUCAACCGUAGUAAGCCUUUGAAACUGAGAAACUUGAGUGCAGGAGAGGAGAGUGGAAUUCCUAGUGUAGCGGUGAAAUGCGUAGAUAUUAGGAGGAACACCAGUUGCGAAGGCGGCUCUCUGGCUGUAACUGACACUGAGGCACGAAAGCGUGGGGAGCAAACGA
rnacentral:rRNA from 1 species